rfam:Nadsonia fulvescens var. elongata DSM 6958 unplaced genomic scaffold NADFTscaffold_1, whole genome shotgun sequence.
GGGAGUUUGGCCGAGUGGUUAAGGCGCCAGCUUCAGGUAAAAACACUGUUGUGUUAACAUGUCUGCUGGUCACGCAAGUGGCGUGAGUUCGAACCUCACAGCUCUCA